GAGUUUGAUCCUGGCUCAGGGUGAACGCUGGCGGCGUGCCUAACACAUGCAAGUCGAGCGGUGCAGCUGGAGGCUUCGGCCGAAGGCUGCAUAGCGGCGGACGGGUGCGUAACGCGUAGGAACGUGCCCCCUGGAGGCGGAUAGCCGCGGGAAACUGCGGGUAAACCGCCAUAGACUCGGGAGAGUAAAGGCCGUAAGGCGCCAGGGGAGCGGCCUGCGUCCCAUCAGGUAGUUGGUAGGGUAACGGCCUACCAAGCCUACGACGGGUAGCCGGUCUGAGAGGAUGGCCGGCCACAAGGGCACUGAGACACGGGCCCUACUCCUACGGGAGGCAGCAGUGGGGGAUAUUGGACAAUGGGCGAAAGCCUGAUCCAGCGACGCCGCGUGGAGGACGAAGCCCUUCGGGGUGUAAACUCCUUUUGUCGGGGAAAAAGGGCUGAUGGUACCCGACGAAUAAGCCCCGGCUAACUACGUGCCAGCAGCCGCGGUAAUACGUAGGGGGCGAGCGUUACCCGGAAUCACUGGGCGUAAAGGGUGCGUAGGCGGCCGCGUGUGUCUGGCGUAAAAUUCCACGGCUCAACCGUGGGUAUGCGCUGGAAACUACGUGGCUUGGGUGCGGCAGAGGCAGACGGAACUGCUGGUGUAGGGGUGAAAUCCGUAGAUAUCAGCAGGAACGCCGGUGGAGAAGUCGGUCUGCUGGGCCGUAACCGACGCUGAGGCACGAAAGCUAGGGGAGCGAACCGGAUUAGAUACCCGGGUAGUCCUAGCCGUAAACGAUGCUCACUAGGUGUGGGGGCGGAAGCCUCCGUGCUGAAGCAAACGCGAUAAGUGAGCCGCCUGGGGAGUACGCCCGCAAGGGUGAAACUCAAAGGAAUUGACGGGGGCCCGCACAAGCGGUGGGAGCGUGUGGUUUAAUUUGGAAGCUAAGCCCAAGAACCCUUACCAGGGCUUGACAUGCUGGUGGUACCGGAGCCGAAAGUGAGGGACCUGCCGAAUGUAGGAGUCAGCACAGGUGGUGCACGUCGUCGUCAGCUCGUGCGUGAGGUGUUGGCUAAGUUCCGCACGAGCCAACCCCUGCCCU
rnacentral:rRNA from 1 species